rnacentral:rRNA from 1 species
GAUGAACGCUGGCGGCGUGCUUAACACAUGCAAGUCGAACGGAAAGGCUCCUGCUUGCAGGGGUACUCGAGUGGCGAACGGGUGAGUAACACGUGGGUGAUCUGCCCUGCACUUUGGGAUAAGCCUGGGAAACUGGGUCUACUACCGGAUAGGACGAUGGCUUGGAUGCCAUUGUGGAAAGUUUUUCGGUGUGGGAUGAGCUCGCGGCCUAUCAGCUUGUUGGUGGGGUAAUGGCCUACCAAGGCGUCGACGGGUAGUCGGCCUGAGAGGGUGUACGGCCACAUUGGGACUGAGAUACGGCCCAGACUCCUACGGGAGGCAGCAGUGGGGAAUAUUGCACAAUGGGCGCAAGCCUGAUGCAGCGACGCCGCGUGGGGGAUGACGGCCUUCGGGUUGUAAACACCUUUCGCUAGGGACGAAGCGAAAGUGACGGUACCUGGAGAAGAAGCACCGGCUAACUACGUG